rnacentral:ncRNA from 1 species
ACGUCCUGCUCGUGAUCGUCUUCUCACCUUUCACGUGGCAGGCGGAAAACGGAGGGCCCCCGCGAGGACGUGACUCACGGGGGCCCUCC